rnacentral:rRNA from 1 species
UACGUAGGGCGCAAGCGUUGUCCGGAAUUAUUGGGCGUAAAGAGCUCGUAGGCGGUUUGUCGCGUCUGCUGUGAAAUCCCGAGGCUCAACCUCGGGCUUGCAGUGGGUACGGGCAGACUAGAGUGCGGUAGGGGAGACUGGAAUUCCUGGUGUAGCGGUGGAAUGCGCAGAUAUCAGGAGGAACACCGAUGGCGAAGGCAGGUCUCUGGGCCGCAACUGACGCUGGAGGAAGCGGAAAGCAUGGGGAGCGAACACGG